GUCUGAUAGAACAUGGGCCAAAAUUGUGUCCCCUCCCCCUCAGCUCCAUUGUGUCCUUCAUCAGGCUGGGCUGCUGAGCUCAGGACAACAGAGAAGAAAAGGACACUACCCCAGCAAGCUCAGCUGCCUGUUCUCAGCUGGCUUCCUGGGAGUGGCUGGGUAGCAGGGGGCAUGGCUGAGAAUUUCUGCUGACUCCCUGCCCCACACACACCUGUCCCUGGCAGCAGACCCUGGUGUUGCCCCUUCCCAGCAGAGGAACCCCAUGGCAUGGGCCAGGACCCCGCUGUGCUAGGUGGUGUACAAACACAGGACAAAAGGCAGUCCAUGCUCUGAAGAGCUAGAGAAGCAGAUGGCAGUAACACCAAGAUGGGCCGACUACAUAGUAAGAGUCAGCACCUGCCUCGAAGAGCUUAUAUUCUAAACAGACAAGGAAAGAAAGGAAAUAUUGUGAUCCUCAUUUUACAGAUGGACAGGCUGAGAUGCAGAGAGAUUAAUGACUUGCACAGGGUUACAGAGGAAAUCUACGGAAAUGAAGCCAGGUCUGUUGAGCCACAGUCCAGUGCCUUAGCCACAAGACCAUCCUUCCGCUGGAAGUCACAUUACUGUUAGGAUUUUGCUAAUUAUUCUCUCGGCCUUUCUUCUUCUGUGAUAGCCUUGGAUUUGGCAGCACAGGUCACAGUUCCCCUUGGUUCUUCUUUCCUACUUUCUGCCAGUCCUGAGGCCCUUCCUUUGUUUUCAUUCUGUCCUCACUUAAGCAGAAACCUUUUGAAGUCAAAGGGAGUAGUGCAUGAGUACAGAAUUUAAGAUUUGGCCCAGUGACUAGAACUGGGACUUUCUGGAAUUGAAUGUGUCUGCGAAAUGCUUCUGUCCUGUGGUUAUUUGGCUCCCUUCUCAGUAUUUGUGGUAAGGAUUUGUGCAAUUUUAGUGACGUGUGUAAUAACGAUCUAAUCAUCAUGACCAGGGCAGUGUCUCCAUUUCACACCCAAUCCCCUUGUCUCCGGGGUUGUUUUCUUAACUAUCACUUCCAUGUCUAGAGCUCUGAUGCUCACGUCACUUCGCGCAGCAUCCUGGACAGCACCUCCCUGUGCUGCUCUCUCCUGCUUCUUGUUCCCAUUCUCGCAAGGGUGGCACCUUCUCUGGCUUGCCCAGCUGAGAAUGGGGAGGGGGAAAGGCCGUAGGGUGAAGGGAUAUUUUUGGACUGAAGUUGUAAAGUGCCCCCUUGUUCAGGCUUUUCCUCGCUCCGGCACUUACUGUCCCCUCAUGCUCCCGACUACCAUCUGCCCCGCUGUGCCUCCGCCCCCUCUCACAGGGACUUGGCCUAAAGAUAGUAUUUAUAAUACAGUGUUUGGUGCAGGAUGAUGGUGUUAACAGCACAGUGACAGAGGAGGGAGAAGAGACUAUAGUAGACUCCUGUUUUCCUAAGUUAACAAUAACUUCACAGGCCUGGUGAGGGGGCCUCAGGGGCAGUUGAGGCAGUCAUGUUACUACCCACCACCCCUUCUCGAACAGCGGUUGCUAUAAGAACUGCAAUUAGCAGCCAUUUGUUAUUAACCAAGAGAAAGGUGCGUUCCUGGCCGUGUCGCAAAGAAUUGGCUGGGAGUCCUGGGCUAGAUCUGGAUUUCUGGCCAGGUUUCAAUGGACUGAAAGGCAGCCAGCCCUGCCUCGAACUGUAAUGGUGUGUUUCUUUCCAGAUCUUACUCUCUAGAGGGAGCAGCAGGGGGCACUGUCUGCUCACAGAUCCUGGAACUCUCCAGCUGACUUCAGCAUUAGAGGUAGCAAAGUACUGGAGAGGGACAAGUCGAUAAUAGAAGGUGCCCUCUGGAGCUUGUUUGUGUGACUGAAUUAACUGGCCUCCCCUGACCUCCUGCCAGACCUCCCCCCUCGGGUUUUCAGGGUUGCACCUUUAUGGGAAGGCUAUUUUUGAAAACUGUUCCGCCCCUCUCUCUGCCCCAGGCCCCAUAAUAACAGAAUAAGGAAGCACUUUGUGAAAUGAAUGGCUGGUAAAUUUAGAUUAAAUAAAAGGAAAUCCUUCUUCAAUCAGCAUGUGCUGCCACCCUGAUGGAAAGCACCGUCGGGAACAGAUCAUCCAGGACCAGCACUGAGGCUGCAUUGUAGUAGGGCCUGCAUGGCUGGUUUUCUGACCUGUAAUAACAUGGUAGUUAUAUGGGCUAAGAUAGUAAAGGUUAAAUUCAGGCCUCUGAUUCAGGCAUACGCUCGAGGAGUGCGGGGGUGGGGGGAGGGAGUCAGGAAGGAAUACCCCACCCUCUCCAGUGUGCAGCACUAUACAAAUGGCUAUAUUAGUGAGGAGGAGGGGGACCCACACUCUUAAAACAGGCUGGCAAGCUGGUGUUCGAGCCGGGGAGGGGGGCCAUGGAGACGCUCUGAGGUGCACUGCAAACUGAGUAAAUGCCUUGAUUUUUGUUACUGUCCGGGUAAUUAGCGUAUCGGGGAAUUCCCCCUAAGCAAAGCAUCCUGACAGCAAAAUACCGCAGCUCUCAGCAUUUCUUCAUCCGCUUCGCAGCUGAUUCACCCCAGCUGAAGAUGUGACCCUUUGUCUAAAUAGUAGCCAGUAAAGUUCUGGAGACUAGGGGUUGGAAAGAUAAAUGGAAACUGGUACCUCUGAAUUCCUGGGCCUACUUGUCAGUUUCACUGCAAAGAAGCAACUUCACCAUGCACCCAUCUGUCCCCAGUCACCAUGAUGAUGGACAAUUGCCUCUUGACCUCUGUAUCCCAUUACUGCAGCAUGGCUCACCUCUUAAUACAUCUGGUCCUUCCUUUUCAGCCUCUUUCAGGGUUGCUUCUCCUCAGCGUUCUUUGGGCUGAGACCCAGAACUUCAUUUAAUCUAGGUGAGAUCCAGAGGCCUGGAAGCACAUUCAUGAGACAAAUGGAUGUACUUGCAUAUUCAUGAGAUGCGGGUUGCAGGCCAGCUGCAUAUCCUUGAGCUCUAAGUACCUCAGUUUAUAUUCAUAAACUGCAGAGGGUUAAUUUGAUGUUGAUGGACUGAAAUCAUUGCAGUGUUUGUGGAAUCAGCCUCUUAGUUCCUAGUUACAAGUUCUCAGUCUGCUUUUAUAAGAUCCAGGAUAAUUUAACAGGAGAUGCCCUGGAUCUGCCUAUAAUGUCCCAUUUCUUAGUUUUACCUUGCCUUGCAGCCGGGUACAAAGCAUAAGCCAGGGCAACAUGCAGGGAUUUCAGUUAGAAACGUCUGGGUAUGUUCACUUCCCCAUCCCCUUCGUUGUACAGCGUUAUGGGUCACUCAUGGAAUUCUGCACUGCUUGGGCAAAAAUGUGUCUACAGUUUGUACAUAAGGUCAGAUGCAGCGUGCGUGGUAACGCAAAUCAAGAAAAAUGAGCUCCAGGGCACCAAGAUGCUGAACACAUCCAUAUCGUGAAAGCAGGUCCCCUAAGAGCAGGCCAGAAGAAUUGGAGAUGGGUCCUGUGCAGUAAAGAAGCUGACCCAUCAUUCCCUGAUGCUGGUGUGAGAACACAAGACCAUGCAGUUCAAGAGAGGUUGCCCUUCGUUUCAGUGAGCCAGUCUGCUGUUUGUCUGUCUUAAAGUGAAGCCCCUGAAUGGCAUCCUUUUCAGUGCUGUUGUUUCCAAGCACGCUGCUGCUGUGUCUCUUACAAAGGCAGGAAAAGUGGGGUUGCUCAGAGGACAGAUAAUGGGGUACAGAAUGUUUCCUUUCUAGUUCCUUUGCUGGUUCAAAUUCCCAAAAGGCUGGUAGUGACUGAAAGUUAUUGCCGUCGGAUGGCUGGUUGGUUGGGCAUGUGUUUGGUGGACUGCAUUUGUACCCACCUAAUAAAAAACCACCACGUUGGGCAGUCUCUACAGAGCGAUCUGAAAGGCGGGACUGGAGCUGUCCAGAAGACACGUGAAGCUCUGCUGGGGAAGCCUGUGCUACCCCUGCGGCUUGCGUAAGCACAGGACUUCAGUUCUCCAAGCCACCAAGGCAGCAUUUUUCAUGAGAACUAAAUAAACAGAGAGAAACAAAGGCAGAAAACCUUCACUUCCCUGGGAACCUUGCUGGGCCUGUUUUUGGUUUGCUCCCUGAACCUUGAUCAAGAGUGGGCGUGGCACAGCCAUUCUGCAAACACCAUUCAGGUAAUAACCUGCCUGGGAUUUCUCAGCAGGCCAGGGUUUGCAGGUUUGCCCUUUGAUAACAGCAAAGAUAAAAUUAGAACCCUGCACUCAGUUAGGCUCCCCCUCCUGUUAUCAUCCUCUUGAAAUGUGCUUUGUACCGUGUCCUUAUCCCUGCAACAAGGCAUUGAGCAGGUACAAACAGCCGUCCUACACACACUCACACUCCUCUCCUCCAACAGCCCUUCUCCUAAGCACCCUCUGUGCUUCAUUUCAUACACUAGCUCUCCAUGCUACAGCUUAACCCCCAGCCCCAUAUCAAACUCUACCAGAACAGCUGGAAAACAAACAACCAGAGUAAACCCAGGUUAGCAGUGACUGAAACUACCAGCUCCUGGUGGUUUGGUGGCCUCCAUUAAAUGAAUUGGGGAUUUCAUGGAAGCCACCAGCUAACUGGCACCCGGGUUGCAGAGCCAGUGCUAGGCAUAAGCAGACUAAGCAAUUGCUUAGGGCCCGAGCAGCUCAAGGGGGCCCCCUAUUUGCUUUUCAUUAUGUGUUGUGGAAAGGGGGGGAUAUUCCUGCUUAGGGCCCCCAAUGGUACUGCCUCUGCUGGGUUGACAGUCUCAGCAGAGAGGGCAGGGCCUGUAUGGAAGCUAAACUCCCAAGGUCUCUCCAGCACAGGGUUGAAGUACACUGAUGGGGCAGUGUGGGAGAAGCUUGCACAGCCAAUGUCCACACUCUAUCAGUGCUGUGAAUAAACAGAGCACCCCAGGGCUAUUGGUCUCACAUCUUUCACUCACCCCAGAAAGGGAGUCAAGAGAGAGAUUUUCUGGGUGUUCUAUGACAGCAUGUUGGACAGUGCUGGUCAUGCUGAUGUCUGGAUGACAUGCCUGAUUGCAUAUGUACAUUCCAUCAUUGUGCCAGUAUAAUACACUUGGUGGGUGCGUGUGAUCACGUCUCCCUCUAGCCACUGGAUAUAGCGAGGCUAAGAGCAUGCUGCUUUCUAACUGCUAACGCUUACUCCCUUAGCACAGUGAUAAGGACUUGUCAGUGCUUCUCGUACAGCAAUGCGGUGUCUGUGUGUGUGUAUGUAGUAAAACACAGCGGGCCAUACCCUCCCAAAGAGCUCAAUGGAGCUAUGCCAAUUGACUCCAGGUGAGGAUCUGGCCCGGAGUGGGAAAGGUUUCUGAAGCAGAGCCAGUUAGGAAGAGAAAAGAAGUGCAAGGCCAUGAGAGAAGACGAGGAUGUGGAUGUGCCAACCAGGAAAGAUAAAGGGGAAACGCUAGAUGAGAGAAUCCAUUGACUGAUGGAAGAAACUAAUAACAAAGGAUAUGGAUAGAGAAAUUAGUUUCUCUCCAAGGGAGAUGGGUGGCAGACUCCAUCCACAGGACCAGCAUCUGGGACAGAAGAGAAGAUCUAAAGUGAAUUGUGACCACAGCACGUUUGGGGGUGUGAUCAGGUAAGAUAAUGUAAAGAUCCUGGGAUGAAUGAAGUACACCAGAUAGCCCAGAAAGAUACCAAAGAAGUUCUAGCCCAGCAGCAGGAAUCUCCCCUGGCAGAGAGGGGAGGUAUCAAAAAAGAAGAGGGAAGGGACGGAAGAAGAAAAGCAUCAUUGCCAGAAUGAUGUUUAAAAAGGCAAUGCAGGUGAAAAGAGAAUGUAAGUGCAAAGGUGCUGUGUGUGUUGGGGAAGGGGAGAUUGUGGAAUGUUCAGUGACUAAGGGUGUGUCUACACUCUAAUCAGAGGUGUGAUUGCAGAAUGUGUAGAUGUACCUGAACUAGCCUCAAUCUAGCUAUAGUGCAAUAAAGCUGUGGCCACACAGACUUCAGUGUGGUCUAGCUGCCCAAGUAACUACCCACAGUCCUGUGUAGGCUUAUGCAGUUCGUGCUGAAACUUUGUGUUACUGCCACCUCCCUAAUCCAGGACCCAAGAUAGAUAGAUUAAAGCUAUCUCUAGUACAUCUGUAUGUGCUUCCGUCACAUACCCUGAUUGCAGUGUAGAUAUACCCCAGAAAAGAACGAAGCUAAUAUGGUUCUUAACCAGCAAAUAUAUUGGGUCAAGCCCUGCUCGUUCACACUGGUGUAAAUCUGGAGUAUCUCCCUUUGAAUUGGGCCUGUUGUCUAGUAUUAGUGAAUAUUGCCACCAGCUAGUUUACUGGACUGCAGCUGGCUGGCUUCCAAGCCAGCUCCUGCCAGUUUAUUAUCUUCCUGAGUGAUAUCAUCACAGCCAAUGUAAAACAUGCUGGAAAACGCUUGAUUGUCCUGAUCCCCAGUUUCAAUUACUUCCAAAUGGACUCACAGAGGGGAUCAAUAUGGGGAAGCAGGUAUCAACACAAGCCCUACCAGAAUAACAGACACCACAUCAACUUCCUGCCAUGUAAGCUGUAUAAUUCCCUCAGUACAAACUCUCCCCUUGGCUUCAAUGAAGCUAGUUUCAUAAAUCCCUUCCUUGUGCAGUGCCAUUGGACUGUGAGGUUUAAACUGGAUGGCAGUGGAGAUGUUUUCCGUCAAAGGUCUUUGACUCUGAAAUUUACACACCUGCAGUGGUCUAAUAGCACCCAUGGUCUGUUGUGAUAAUUGAGUCUACAGCUUUACUUUCAUUGUGAGUUUAACUAUAAGCAGUGAGUGAAAGUUUAUAAGAUGUAACAAUAACUUAUAGCAACAAAUGUUGAUCGGAAAAGGUAUGAAAGGGAGACAGAGACUGAGUUAGUCCAAACAAAAAGGCCUCCUGAUAGAACUCAAGGACUGUGUUAAGAUCAUGCCUGGUAAACAGGAAAAGUGUGGAACUAGAAAUCAGUGAACAAAAUUGGUGUGUCGGAAACUAGGCCUAAUUGGUGGACAAAUUAAUGAGGGGAUGGGCUAUUCCACCCACCACUCCCCUUUUGGGGUCCUUAAAGGAAGACUUUGGGAAGAAAAAUUAGCAUUGGAGUGAGCUUCACCAUCAUGGCUGCCACCCCAACUGUCUCCUAGGACCCCAGACCUUCCUCAUCCUAAGCCUGAGAGAUGUCUGAGCAGCCCAGGUCAGAGAGAGGCACCCAGAUGACAUCAACACCUCUACCAGCUCCGGCCGAAUCCCAAACACCACCUCGGAUGAAACAGGACUGGACUUCAACCACAGCACCAGCAACAACCGCAGCUCCAGCUUAUCUCAGUUAACUUCUCUUUUUCCCCAUAGGAUGGUUAUUGCCAUCUUUGUUAUCAUCUAAGAGACUGUGAGACACGGGGCUUUGCCUUCAAAAACUCUCUCCAGCCCAAGGAAAAGGGAACAAGGCUUAUUGUUAAAAUGAAAGCCUCACUUAAUACUUUACCUGUCAAAAGCUUUACUGUUUUCCCUUCUUUUCUUUACCUUUAAUAAGAAGUUAAAAUAAUUUGUAAAAGUGUGUUUGCCACAGUGCUAAGCAAUAUGAGGUCUCUAUAGAGCAAACCCCAAAUGUUGUUUAAUGUUGGACAGUGACUGUGCUACGUUAACCCCUUUGGCCCAAAUACUCCAUGGAAAUGCAUACAAAAUUUUUGGGUUCCCAAUGUGGGACCCAAAGGGUUAAAUACAUAAGCAGAAGCUGGCACCUUGGCAAACAAGCAAUUGUUUCCAAGGUUAGUUUAAAACAAAAGUUUGUUUUAAAAUUCUUAAAUGUGUUGAGUUUGUUUGAGAUAAGCAUGCAAAACAAACUGUUAACAUUUUUGCUUGAAAAAAGAGAGGGUUAACAAUUGUUUUAUAGUUAUUUUAAAAAAAAAUCUUGUAAAAUGCUUUGGUUUGUUUUUUUCCCCUUGUGUUUUGAGGUGGGUAGUUUCUAUGAUUGGUAAUUUUUAAGAAAAAGCAAUAGUAAUAAUGAGUCAUUUAAAAUUGCUGAAGAUUAAGUGGCUAAAGCAGACUUCUUGAAAUAACAUCUUGGGUAACUCUCUUCUUAAUAAAAUGCCAGCUUUAUUCCGGGCUGCUAUUGCAUUCACUGUGAAUUAAAUCUCAAACCACCGGAACCAAGGGUUCUUGCAGCACCAAACGGUUUGUGGGUUUUUUGGUGAUUGUUUUGGUUUUGCAAUGUUUUUUCCUUGUUGUUUUUGUGCUUUAGCAAAGGUUUUUCCCCCCUCCCACUUUUGUUUUUUUAUGUGGAUGAUUUCUGUUAUUGUUCUCUGCAAAUGAGACAGCAGCACAGUGCUAGUGUUGUAGCUCAGAUCCCCAGAAUGGGCUAAGUUUAGGGUGACCAGAUGUCCCGAUUUAUAGGGACAAUCCCAAUUUUUGGGUCUUUUUCUUAUAUUGGGUCCUAUUACCCCCCACCCUCUGUCCUGAUUUUUCACAUUUGCUGUCUGGUCAACCUAGCUAAGUUGCCAGGAUGGCCAUGUUGUCCUCACAAAUGGUGGUGGUAAAACGCAUGCGCAAGGUCUAUCAUAGACUAAAAAUGUCUGAAUUUUUACCAGCGUUGCUCAUGGAUGCAAAAGUGGUUCCAAAAGAACAUCGUUUUGUUGCUCCUUUUUAAAGGAGGCAACACACUUGGUUAAAAAUGCCCUCAGGGCUAAAGUUUUUCUCCAAGUGAGCAAUCUUAACCUCUAAUGGAUAAAAUCUUCCUGGGUUGUGUAAAUGUACAGCCUUUACUGUGUAAACAGCAAAAGGGGGGGGGGGGGAGGAGCUCUUUCCAUUGUUACCCACCCUGGGAAUACAGCCAAAGAAGUGAGAAGAACUGGUUUGUUCUUAAAUGUCUUACAAACAUCUGACAGCAACGGUUCUAAAUUUAGUUUUCAUUACAAAUGAAAUGAGUUAUAAGUUCUUAAACCUUUCAGAUGUUAACAAAGCGUACCUGUAAUCUUUGCAAUAUUUGAUCAAGUAAGAUUUGCAAAUCCCGAACUUGGGAUAAGGAAUUUGCUAACAUUAAAAUAUAUCCAAGGAUCUUUUUUCUUUGCCUUUUUUGAAAUGCUUAAACUAAAAUAAGGUGUUUCUUUGUAAUUGUGAUUUUAAGAACAGAUGUCUGAUCCUAGGUGGAAUUGGUUCAUAAAAGAGAGGGAUUAUGUUGUGAUAAUUGGGCCUACACACUUACCCUAGGUGUGAGUUUAACUGUAAGAAGUUAAUAAAAGUUUAUAAGAUGUAACAAUAACUUAUAAUGACAAAUGUUGAUAGGAAAAGGCAUGAAAGAGAGACAGAGACUAAAUUAGUCCAAACAAAAAGGUCUCCUCAGAUAACUCAAGGACCGUGUUAAAAUCACUCCUGGUAAACAAGAGAAGUGUGGAACUAGAAAUCAGUGAACCAACAACAGCUCCAGCCGGAGGUGCGGGAACUCAGGUUUCUGAGGGUGCAGAAGCACCCCCUGGCUUGAAGUGGUUUCCAUCAUAUGCAGUUUUGUUCACUGAUUCUCAGCACCCCCACUAUAAAACCUGUACCAACACCACUGUCUGCAGCUCAUCUCAACUAUCUUCUUCUCUUUUCCCAAAAAGGACAGUUAUCACAUGUUUGAGACUGUCAAACAAGGGGGCUUUUCCUUCUAAAAACUCUCUCCAGCUCCAGGGAAAAGGAACAAGGGAUGUUGUUAAAAUGAAAGCCUGCCUUAGCAAUUUACAUUUCAAAUGCCUUCAGUGUUUUUCCUUCUUUUAUUUAUCUUUAGUAAAAGGUUAAAGAUGUUUAAUGGUGUGUGUGCCAUGGUGGUGAAGUCUCUGUAGACCAUAUCUGAAUGUUAUCUAACACUGUUUAAUGUUGGACAGUAACUGGGUUAUGCUAACACCUUUGGCCCAUAUAUUCCGUCUAAAUUAAUACAACAUGCUCCAGUCCCGUAAGGAGCACCAUUCCUACAUAUAGCUCCUUGCUGGAUCAGGGUCCAAGUGUGCUGACUGCCAGGCCAUGCUGCUGGACCAAGCUUUUUCCAGAGGUUUUUCCUGAAAUAGAGAGAGGGGCAAGAUUGGUUAACAUGGCUGUUGGGCUGAUAAUGACUUUCAUAUGUUGAUUUUAAAUGGAUCAUUACACUGGCCUUGAGGUUUGCAGAGAUGCAUUUCAAAAACCAGAAAUCAAUGCACUUGAAAUAUUCUGUAUCAUUUUGCUUGCUGUUCACCCACUGAGGGCAAGAUUAAAAGAAAGAUGCAAAAGAAUUGGAAGUUAGCCUUUAAAAACUAUUCUUAAAAAGUUAAUAAACCUCGUGACCUAGUACUUUGUUUAAAAUUAAACUCAUUAAUUUUAACAAAACAUCAGUGUUUUAGAUAUUAAUGUAUGAAUGAUGGGGUAAACAACUCUUGAGCUUCUAAGGAAUGCAUAUCAGGCUGUCCUGCAAGGGAAUACUUUGUACUUGCACGGUCACCUUCCAAGAAUUUUAGUGCUUUAUAAAAAAAAUAAACAAAACUGCUCUGCCUUGUAAGAUCGUUGUGAGGGAUAUAUAUGGAGCACUUCAUCCAGCACUGAAAUGCAGCCAGCUCUGGAGCAGAACUCAGCAACUCUAUAAUAGUGGAUGAUUACAGUACAUGGCAGAUUAUAGUAAAAUAUGAAAUACACAUGAAAGGUAAAGAAGAAAC